AUGGAUUCCUCCGGCCCCGGCCCGUCAUCCUCGGUCGUCGGCGGCGGCAGCGCGCCGGAUGUUGCGCCGAAGCCGCCUGCGCAGCUGAGCAGGUACGAGGCGCAGAAGCGUAGGGACUGGAACACGUUCCUGCAGUACCUGCGGAACCACAAGCCGCCGCUGACGCUGGCGCGGUGCAGCGGCGCGCACGUGAUCGAGUUCCUCAGGUACCUGGACCAGUUUGGCAAGACCAAGGUGCACGUCGCCGGCUGCGCCUACUACGGCCAGCCCAGCCCGCCGGCGCCGUGUCCGUGCCCGCUGCGCCAGGCAUGGGGGUCCCUCGACGCGCUCAUCGGCCGCCUGCGCGCUGCCUACGAGGAGAGCGGCGGCGCGCCCGAGUCCAACCCCUUCGCCGCGCGGGCCGUCCGGAUCUACCUGCGCGAGGUGCGCGACUCGCACGCCAAGGCGCGCGGGAUCCCGCACGAAAAGAAGAAACGGAAGCGCGCGCCGCAGGCCGCUGAGGCAUCUGGUUCAUCGGCUGGCGCCGGAGCAGUCUUCGACAGGGACGUCGAGGGUAGCUUCGGCGAUGGUGCUCUUGCUGCGUCCGCCGCGCAGGCUGGAGCUGGAGACGGUGGCAGUACUGCACCGAGCAUCUCUUGA
rnacentral:rRNA from 1 species